AGAGAUUGGACAGCCAUUUGUCUGGAAUGGUAUAGGGUUUCCUACCUGAGCAGGGGGUCAGACUAGAAGAUCUCCAAAGUCCAUUCCAACUCUGUUAUUCUGUUACUCGGAUGCAAGAAGAUUGGAUGUGGAUCCAGAUCAAUCCAUUCUGGUUCUUCAAUAAUUGGCGCUAUUAUUUCUUUUUUCCUUUACCUAAUUUGAGCCAGUUUUGUGGUUUCAGGAGAGCUCAUACAAAAUGUGGUUUUUAGCAGAAGGACUUGUCGGGUGCAGCGCCAACUAUGAUUCAGGAACCCUUGGAGUUUUUGAUAGAGGUUCCGCCACUGUGGGUUACUAUAUGCCCUGUGAUACAGUCUUUGACAAAAUCUAGAGCAUCCAAAAUUAUGUUUCCAUACACAUUGUGAAAAGCCAUUUCCUUGGGCUCUGGGAUGUAGUAGCAAAUGUAGAAAUGUUUUGUCAUUUUCAGAUGGGUUUGUUCAAAAGAAAAUGAAACGAAGAUUUCUUUUAGUGUCUUCCUCUGGAACGCUUGUAACCUAUGAAGGACUAGCAACUUAAGUCAUUAGUAACAGAUGGCUGUUCUUUAGAAGAUUCGUGCUUAAUCUCUAGACUGUGCUCCCAAUGAAUUGCCUUCUUAGCCAUGACCACAAAGAAGUUGCUCCGUUUUUUUUCUCCUUUACUAAUAUGGGAAGAAGUAUGUGCGAAAUUUUAAAGUAGCAAUAGGAGAUCCAGAUUAUUAGUUCUGAAACCACCAUUUCCUCUUCAGAAAACUGAAGUGUUUUUCUGUUUGAAUUCAACAAUUGGUGACUUUAUGGAUGUAUAGGUGAACUUCACAAACGUUGGUGACUGAGAUUUUAAGAUGCUUUAUCCAAUGAUGCCAGCCAAGAAAUUAAAAGAUGCUUGCUCCUGGGGAGGAAAGCUAUGGCAAAUCUAGACAGCAUACUAAAAAGCAGAGACAUCACCCUGCCAACAAAAAUUUUGAAUGCCUUAUCCAAUCAUACAACUUUCUGGAAAAAAAAAGAAGGGAGUUGAGCGUGCUGCGGACAUAGGAAAGAGUAUAUAAAUGGAUUAAAUAAACAAAGGGAUGAACCAAGUAAGAGGAUACAUUUGAUGGG